CAUACGAAUUUCUUUAAAUUCAUGAUGUCGUAAGGGAAAAUAAUGAUAUUACCUUACUAUGAGUGUCGUCCAAAGCUGGUGCCAGAAGACUCGGUAAGACCAGAGACGCAAACGUUAAUCAUCUUAAACAGGCGUAAAGGGUUUGUAGGCAGCUUUCAUAAUAUUAUUUCUUACAAAAAUAAAGAAGUGGUCUGAUUGAAAGCUAGAAUCAAAAAGAGGUUAUAGUGUAUAACGCCUAGAGGAGGGCUGAUAUCCUUAGAUCCUAGGCAGAAUACUUAGGGCGAAGGCCACUCUCCACUAAUGAUUGACGCUGAGAAACGAAGGUAAGGGUAGGAAAUAGGAUUAGAUACCCCGGUACUCCUUUCUGUAAACGAUGAAUGGUAGUCAUUAGUAAAAUUAACUAGAGACGAAGUUAACACAAUAACCAUUCCGCCUUGUGAGUACUACUGCAAAGUAGAAAACAAAAAAAUUAGUCGGUCUCGAAGCAAACGGAGUGAAGCAUGUUAUUUAAUG
rnacentral:rRNA from 1 species